rnacentral:rRNA from 1 species
GGGCCCGCACAAGCGGUGGAGUAUGUGGUUUAAUUCGAUGCAACGCGAAGAACCUUACCAGGGUUUGACAUCCUGCGAAUCUCUUGGAAACGAGAGAGUGCCUUCGGGAACGCAGUGACAGGUGGUGCAUGGCUGUCGUCAGCUCGUGUCGUGAGAUGUUGGGUUAAGUCCCGCAACGAGCGCAACCCACGUCUUUAGUUGCCAUCAAGUAAAGUUGGGAACUCUAGAGAGACCGCCGGUGAUAAACCGGAGGAAGGUGUGGAUGACGUCAAGUCAUCAUGCCCCUUACAUCCUGGGCUACACACGUACUACAAUGCUACGGACAAAGAGCAGCAAGUUCGCGAGGACAAGCAAAUCUCAUAAACCGUGGCUCAGUUCAGAUCGUAGGCUGCAACUCGCCUACGUGAAGGAGGAAUCGCUAGUAAUCGCAGGU